AAGUGAUCUAGGUAUGGGCAGGGUGAAGGUGCAGUAACAUGCACUGGAGGCCCGAACCGUUGAGCGUUGAAAAGCUCUCGGAUGACCUGUGCCUAGGGGUGAAAGGCCAAUCAAACUUGCUUAUAGCUGGUUCUCCGCGAAAUCUAUUUAGGUAGAGCGUCGAUCGAAUACUCUUGGGGGUAGAGCACUGACUGGGCUAGGGGUCCUCACCGGAUUACCAAACCUUAUCAAACUCCGAAUACCAAGAAGUACUAAUCGGCAGACACACGGCGGGUGCUAACGUCCGUCGUGGAGAGGGAAACAACCCUGACCACCAAUUAAGGUCCCCAAAUAAUGGCUAAGUGUGAAAGGAUGUGGGAUUGCUUUGACAAUGAGGAGGUUGGCUUAGAAGCAGCCAUCCUUUAAAGAAAGCGUAACAGCUCACUCAUCAAGCGAUCCUGCGCCGAAAAUGUAACGGGGCUAAAGCCAUUUACCGAAAUUGUGGGCUCGAAAGAGCGGUAGCGGAGCGUUCCGUAAGCCUGUGAAGGU
rnacentral:rRNA from 1 species